AUGAAAAAAAAAACUGGAUUUUCAUGUUCAAUUUUAACGGUCCGUCUUAUAUGAAAUUUAAAAUUUCUAUAAUUCAUAUUUUUAUUGUUAUUAGAUGAUAAAACAUGAUUAAUAUUUUAUAUGUGACUUGUCUUUUUAUUUUUUUAUAAUUUUUUUAAAUAAGACGGACUAAGACGGACGGUUAAACGUUAAGCACGAAAAC
rnacentral:pre_miRNA from 1 species